GCAAGAGUUCCUGUUGCUCCAUAUCCAGGAUGGUAUGUGGGAUUGUGAGUCUUUCUGAUUUUAGCUAUUCAAAUGGGCAUGCGGCAGUACCUCAUAUGGUUAUUACUUGCAUUUCCUUGAUAACUGGUAUAGUUUGGGUCUGGAACUGAAGGCCCAUGUGCUAUGGCUUGGUCCCCAUGCCCUGGUUCUAUGGGAAGGCUGUAGAAUCUUUAAGAGGUGGGUCCUAGUCAGAGAUAGGUCAUUGGAGGUCAUUAGAGGUGUGCCUUCAAAUGGAAUCAUGGGACCCUGGUCUCUUUCUGUCAACUGAUCAGGGACUGGAACUUCCAAAACUAUGAGAAUAAACCUUUCCUCUUUUUUAAGUUGAUUAUUUCAACUAUUUUGUUGCAGUAACAGGGAACUGGCUAACAAUGGCUAUUUUUUUUUUUGGCAAAUUUUCAUGUGCUUUUAAGAAUUCAUAUAUUUUCUUUUAGGAGUGUCUUUUAUAUUUUUUAUCCAUUAAAAUUAGGUUGUUUGUCUUAUGAUUCAGGUGUAGAAGUUAUUUAAGAUUCUGCUAUAAACACUUAGGCACAUGCAUUUUUUCCAAGUCAUGUUUUUGUUUUAAUUUUUUUAACCAUGUCAUUCAUGAAACCAAGUUUUAUGUUAUGAUAAAGUCCCACUUAUCAACUUUUUAUUUUAUGAUCCAUGUCUUUUAAGUCUUAUUCUAGAAAUUGUUGCCUACUCAAUAUCAGAAAUUUUCUCCCAUGUUUUCUUCUAGAAGUGUUAUAGUCUUAGCUUUCAUGUGUAAGUCUAUGAUCCGCUUUUGGGUAACUUUGUGCAUGGUAUAUGGCAAGAUUUGAUGUUUACUUUUUCCCACAUAGAUACUCAGUUAUACCACCACUCUUUGUUAAGAAACUUUCUUUCCUCAUUAAAUUACCUCAAUGCCUUUGUCAAAAAUAAAUUGGCCAUAUGCCCGAGGGUAUAUUUCUGAACUCUUUUUCAUAUCCCAUGGAUCUUUCUUUGAACCAAUUUUUGGGGUCUAUUUAUUUUUUUUCUAUAUAUCUUUUCAACCACUACCACACUGUCAGGUAAGUUCUCCAACUUUGUCCUUUUUUUAAAAAAAAUUGUCUUGUCAAUCUAGGCAUUGCCUUUUCACAUAAAUUUUAGAAUCAGCUUUUCAAUUUCUACAAAACACCCUACUAGGAUUUUGGUUGGGGUCCUGUGGAACAUAUUCUAUGGAUAUAUUGGGGGAGAAUCAACAUCUUAACUACUGUAUAAGUCAGCUUUUCUUUACUUUGACCAAAUACUUGACCAGAACAACUUACUACGGGAAAAGUUUACUUUGGCUCAUGGUUUCGGGUAACUCCAGUUCUCUGGGAGUUCAGUGAGGCAGAACAUCAUGGAGGAAGGGAGUGGCAAAGGAAAGCAUCUCACUUCAGGGUAUCUGGAAAGCAGAGUGAAAAAGUGGAAGGAACUAGAGACAAACUAUGUAACCCUCAAGGCAUGUUCCCAGUGACUCACUUCCUCCGGUCACACCUCACCUGCCUACAGUCCCCACCCAUUCAUCCAUUCAAAUGGAUGAAUCCAGUACUUAAGUUACAGCUCUCAUAAUCUGAUUAUUCACCUCCAGCAUUAACACAGAAGCUUUGGGGGGGGGGACACCUCAUAUCCAAGCCAUAACAAUUUAAUUCCUCCCAUCCAUGAACAUGGUAUACCAUAUCAUUCAUUUUGUUUAGGUUGGCUAUAUCUUGGUUGAGUUUUUGUUUUGAUGACCUGUCUAUUGGUGGCAAGGGUGUAUGGAAAUCUCCCAGGAUUAUUGUGUUAGGGUCUAUGUGGAAUUUAAGGUUGUGAAGUAUUUUUUUCCAUGUAAUUAGGUGUGUUGACAUUGGGGCCUCAAUAUUUACCAUGGCUAUACAUUCUUGUUGGAUUUUUUCCCCCUGACUAGUAUGUAAUGUCCUUCUUUUUCUCUUCUGAUUAAUAUUUGCUUGAAAUCUACUUUGCCUGAUAUGAGAAUAGCUAGUCCUAUUUGUUUUCUUGGACCAUAGUCCUGGAAUAUUUUUUGCAACCCUUUUAUUUUCAGCCUGUGGGUGUCUUUGCCCAUAAGAUGGGUCUCUUGUAAACAGCAUAUAGUUGGAUUUCAUUUUUUGAUCCAUUCUGCUAAUCUGUGUCUUUUAAUUGGGGACUUGAGACCAUGAACAUUCGGCGUUAGCAUGGAUAUGUGUUUGUGGUUUCCUGUCACUUUGUUUUUUUGCUGUAUUUUACCCUGUCUUAGUUCUCAUUUAGUGGCUUAUUCUCUAUUGAACUUCUCUGUGAGCUUUGGGCAUUGUUUUUCAUUCCUCUGUUUAAAGUUUAACUUUGAGUAUUCUUUGUUGUGCUGGUUGGUUGCUCAUAAUUCUUUUAGUUUCUUCUUGUUGUGGAAUAUUUUUAUCUCCCCUCAAAUUUGAAGCUGAAUUGUGCUGGAUAUAGUGAUCUUGGCUGACAGUUGUCUUCUUUUAGGAUUUGGAAUAUCUCAUUCCAAGUAACCCUUGAUUUUAGGGUACGAGCAGAGAACUCACAUGUGAGCCUUGUUGGUUUGCCUCUAAAUGUGACCUAUUGCUUUUCUUUUGU
rnacentral:lncRNA from 1 species